UAGCCUAGUGGUUAAGGCUAUGGAUUGCCAAUCCGGAGAAGGCGGGUUUGAUUCCCGU
rnacentral:tRNA from 1 species